CUGCCAGUCGUUUCUCCAUUCACCAAUUCACAGAGAUUUGAAUUUCGACUACUCGAGGUAGCUGAACCUUGGGAAAUCACAAUGCUAUUUACACCAUUUGAAUCGAGUUCCUGCCUGCCCGUGAUACAGCUCAAUUGCCCAAAAGCUUCUGAAGAAACAACACGAGGACUAGUGCUGGUGUUAUGUGAACCUAAAGGAGUAAUGCUUCUUGCUGCUCCAACAGGCAAUCUUUCAGCUACAUCCUUAAGCUACAAAAAGGUGAAACAAUAAGAUAUUUGGUUAUAAUUGAACAUGUCAAUGAGAAUUAUUACGACUGCACAAUACUUUAU
rnacentral:lncRNA from 1 species